rnacentral:rRNA from 1 species
AAUGAACGUUGGCGGCGUGGAUUAGGCAUGCAAGUCGCGCGAUAAAUGUAGCAAUACAUGGAAAGCGGCGAAAGGGACAGUAACGUGUGGGAACCUACCUCGGGGGCUGGGAUAGCGGCGGGCAACGGCCGGUAGUACCAAAUGACAUCCCCGGAUCAAAGGCGUGAGUGCGCCCUCAGAUGGGCCCACAUGCUAUUAGUUAGUUGGGGGGGUAAUGGCCCACCAAGACUAAGAUGGCUAGCGGGUGUGAGAGCACGACCCGCGUCACGGGGACGGAGACACUGCCCAGACACCUACGGGUGGCUGCAGUCGAGAAUCUGCGGCAAUGGGCGCAAGCCUGACCGAGCGACGCCGCGUGCGGGAUGAAGGCCCUCGGGUUGUAAACCGCUGUCGAGGGGGAUGAAAUUCCGGUGGGUACUCCCAUCGGAUUGACAGAUCCCUGGAGGAAGGGUGGGCUAAGUUCGUGCCAGCAGCCGCGGUAA